UACGUAGGGGCAAGCGUUGUCCGGAAUCAUUGGGCGUUAAAGAGGCGCGUAGGCGGCCCUGUAAGUCCGCUGUGAAAGUCAAGGGCUCAACCCUUGAAAUGCCGGUGGAUACUGCAGGGCUAGAGUCCGGAAGAGGCGAGUGGAAUUCCUGGUGUAGCGGUUGAAAAUGGCGCAGAUAUCAGGAGGAACACCGAUGGCGAAGGCAGCUCGCUGGGACGGUAGCUGACGCUGAGGCGCAGAAGAGCGUAGGGA
rnacentral:rRNA from 1 species